UCUCUGCUUACAAAGUUUGCAAAGCCAGCCAAGAAAGAUGACCUCUUAUGUGUACCAAAAGCGAACAGAGCUUUUUUUCUGUUGAAAUUGCUUUAUUUUUGAAUCCAUAAAUAUUUGUUACUGACAAAAGUGGAAAAAAAUCCUUAAGACUCUAAUUUUUUUUUUUUUACUAAACCGGUAAUAGUUUUGUUUACAGUACCUACAGAAUGUGCUUUUACAGGUAAGUAUAACAACAAGGAUAAUACAGAGAAAAACAGUCAAAUACUGCUGCCUUGAAGCUUAAUGCGUAACCAAGAGUCUGUGCAAAGAUACAGAUAACAAAUGUACUUUCUUGUCAGAACUACUGAAGAAUAAACAUGGAUUCCAUAAACUGGGCUAAAGCACAAAGAGGGCUGGACAUUCAACCUUCCCCUCAGGAAAUAGCUAUCCCCCAAAUUAAGCUGGUUACAAUAAGAUUUGGCUUCCUUGGAGAAGAGAAACUCUUGCUAAAGGAUUCCUUGUCAGCUUAUGGAAUGAAGGCUUGAAGAAGCGACUGCAAAGCAUGUGGUUAGAGCAACAGUAAGGCGCAGUUCUACACCAUUGGUGAGAACUUCCACAAAUCAUGAAAGGUCACAAAAAGAGACACCAAAUGCCAUUUUCGCUAACUAUUGAGAUAAUGGACUUUUUAGUCCCCCCUCCCCAGAUUUACAUAAAUAUAAUAAGAACAGUAUGUCUGUCUCCCUUCAUUCUCACAGGCCUUUGGCAGAUGAAGUACUGUAUAAUGUUUGGAAAUGAUUCCACCUGCUGCCUCUACAACUCAGUGAAGACACCUCAGAGAUGAUGCUGGACCAUCCUGUUGAUUAGCAGCAAACAUACAACAUACAGUCUUGUUAUAUACUUGAACCCAACCCAGAGGAGUGUAAUGCGGCUUGGCCUGUGCAAGAACUGACCUACAGGGGAUGCUAUAAUCACAGGAGGAACCAACCAAGGCAGCUGUAGGACAAUCUACUCUUGCAAGUCACAGCAACACCUGCUGCUACUUGGAGAAACCCUGGAAAAACUUGAAUGGCUGCAAAAUGCUGAAAUGAACAUGUGGGUCCUGC